AUGAACUAAAUCAAAGUACCAACACACAACCUCCAUUAGCAGGGCAUCAAAUUAUUAGGGUUUAACUAGAUCCAUUGGUAGGAUGUUGAAUUACCAAUGCACAAUCUCUACUGGUAAAAUAUCAAAAUAUUAGCAUCUAACCGCUUUACUAAUAGAAUAUCGAAUUAUCAAUAUAUAACUUCCACUGAUAGAGUAUCAAAGUACCAAUGUUUAACCCCCAC
rnacentral:lncRNA from 1 species